GUGCUGAAACGCCCAUCUGAAGGAGGAUUUAGCAGUAAGCAGGAAAUAGAGCGUCCCGCUGAAACUGGCCCUGAAGCGCGCACACACCGCCCGUCACUCUCCCCAAAACCCCCUCUUAACAAUUAACUAAGCCCUAAGAACCUAUAAAGGGGAGGCAAGUCGUAACAUGGUAAGUGUACCGGAAGGUGUACUUGGUAAAUC
rnacentral:rRNA from 1 species